UACGUAGGCAGCGAGCGUUGUUCGGAGUUACUGGGCGUAAAGGGUGUGUAGGCGGUUGUUUAAGUUUGGUGUGAAAUCCCCCGGCUUAACCGGGAGGGUGCGCCGAAUACUGAAUGACUAGAGUGCGGGAGAGGUGAGUGGAAUUCCUGGUGUAGCGGUGAAAUGCGUAGAUAUCAGGAGGAACACCGGUGGUGUAGACGGCUCACUGGACCGUAACUGACGCUGAGACACGAAAGCGUGGGUAGCAAACAGG
rnacentral:rRNA from 1 species